rnacentral:rRNA from 1 species
GACGAACGCUGGCGGCGUGCCUAAUACAUGCAAGUCGAACGCUGAAGGAGGAGCUUGCUUCUCUGGAUGAGUUGCGAACGGGUGAGUAACGCGUAGGUAACCUGCCUGGUAGCGGGGGAUAACUAUUGGAAACGAUAGCUAAUACCGCAUAAUAGCAGUUGUUGCAUGACAACUGUUUGAAAGGUGCAAUUGCACCACUACCAGAUGGACCUGCGUUGUAUUAGCUAGUUGGUGGGGUAACGGCUCACCAAGGCGACGAUACAUAGCCGACCUGAGAGGGUGAUCGGCCACACUGGGACUGAGACACGGCCCAGACUCCUACGGGAGGCAGCAGUAGGGAAUCUUCGGCAAUGGACGGAAGUCUGACCGAGCAACGCCGCGUGAGUGAAGAAGGGUUUCGGAUCGUAAAGCUCUGUUGUAAGAGAAGAACGAGUGUGAGAGUGGAAAGUUCACACUGUGACGGUAUCUUACCAGAAAGGGACGGCUAACUACGUG